GAUGAACGCUGGCGGCGUGCUUAACACAUGCAAGUCGAACGAAGCGCUUAAGAUUGAUUCUUCGGAUGAUUUCUUUUGUGACUUAGUGGCGGACGGGUGAGUAACGCGUGGGUAACCUGCCUCACACAGGGGGAUAACAGUUAGAAAUGACUGCUAAUAUCGCAUAACCCGAUAGGAUCGCAUGAUCCAGACGGAAAAGAUUUAUCGGUGUGAGAUGGACCCGCGUCUGAUUAGCUAGUUGGUGAGGUAACGGCCCACCAAGGCGACGAUCAGUAGCCGGCCUGAGAGGGUGAACGGCCACAUUGGGACUGAGACACGGCCCAAACUCCUACGGGAGGCAGCAGUGGGGAAUAUUGCACAAUGGGGGAAACCCUGAUGCAGCGACGCCGCGUGAGUGAAGAAGUAUUUCGGUAUGUAAAGCUCUAUCAGCAGGGAAGAAAAUGACGGUACCUGACUAAGAAGCCCCGGCUAACUACGUGCCAGCCGCCGCCGUAA
rnacentral:rRNA from 1 species